AUCCAGCUGACGAGUCCUAAAUAAGACAGAAUGCGCGUCCUGUAU
rnacentral:hammerhead_ribozyme from 1 species